rnacentral:tRNA from 1 species
ACCGAAAGAGCUCAGUUGUGAGAGCGUUAGACUGAAGAUCUAUAGGUCCCUAGUUCAACCCCGGGUUUCGGCA